rnacentral:rRNA from 1 species
AAUGAACGCUGGCGGCAUGCCUAACACAUGCAAGUCGAACGAGAGCACCGUGACUAGUGGCGCAUGGGUGCGUCAAGCGUGGGAACGUGCCCUUAGGCUCCGAAUUCCUCCCCGUAAGGGGUGCUAAUAUCGGAUAAUGUACUCGGACCACAGAUUCAUCGUAUUUGGAUGGGCACGCGUUGGAUUAGCUUGUUGGUAGGGUAAAAGCCUACCAAGGCGACGCUCCAUAGCUGGGUUGAGAGAAUGCUCAGCCACUCUGGGACUGAGACACGGCCCAGACUCCUGCGGGAGGCAGCAGUGGAGAAUAUUGCACAAUGGCCUAGAGCCUGAUCCAGCAAUGCCGCGUGAGUGAUGAAGGCCGUAGGGUUGUAAAGCUCUUUUACCCGGGAUGAUAAUGACAGUACCGAGAGAAUAAGCACCGGCUAACUCCGUG